rnacentral:rRNA from 1 species
GACGAACGCUGGCGGCGUGCUUAACACAUGCAAGUCGAACGGAAAGGCCCUGCUUUUGUGGGGUGCUCGAGUGGCGAACGGGUGAGUAACACGUGAGUAACCUGCCCUUGACUUUGGGAUAACUUCAGGAAACUGGGGCUACUACCGGAUAGGAGCUCCUGCUGCAUGGUGGGGGUUGGAAAGUUUCGGCGGUUGGGGAUGGACUCGCGGCUUAUCAGCUUGUUGGUGGGGUAGUGGCUUACCAAGGCUUUGACGGGUAGCCGGCCUGAGAGGGUGACCGGCCACAUUGGGACUGAGAUACGGCCCAGACUCCUACGGGAGGCAGCAGUGGGGAAUAUUGCACAAUGGGCGGAAGCCUGAUGCAGCAACGCCGCGUGCGGGAUGACGUCCUUCGGGUUGUAAACCGCUUUCGCCUGUGACGAAGCGUGAGUGACGGUAAUGGGUAAAGAAGCACCGGCUAACUACGUG